UACGGGAGGCAGCAGUGGGGAAUAUUGCACAAUGGGGGAAACCCUGAUGCAGCGACGCCGCGUGAAGGAUGAAGUAUUUCGGUAUGUAAANUUCUAUCAGCAGGGAAGAAAAUGACGGUACCUGACUAAGAAGCCCCGGCUAACUACGUGCCAGCAGCCGCGGUAAUACGUAGGGGGCAAGCGUUAUCCGGAUUUACUGGGUGUAAAGGGAGCGUAGACGGCANGGCAAGNCNGANGUGAAAGCCCGGGGCUCAACCCCGGGACUGCUUUNGAAACUGUNNNGCUAGAGUGUCGGAGAGGCAAGCGGAAUUCCUAGUGUAGCGGUGAAAUGCGUAGAUAUUAGGAGGAACACCAGUGGCGAAGGCGGCUUNCUGGACGAUGACUGACGUUGAGGCUCGAAAGCGUGGGGAGCAAACAGGAUUAGAUACCCUGGUAGUCCACGCCGUAAACGAUGACUACUAGGUGUCGGGGNGCAAAGCNCUUCGGUGCCGCAGCCAACGCAAUAAGUAUUCCACCUGGGGAGUACGUUCGCAAGAAUGAAACUCAAAGGAUAUUGACGG
rnacentral:rRNA from 1 species